rnacentral:rRNA from 1 species
UACGUAGGGUGCGAGCGUUAAUCGGAAUUACUGGGCGUAAAGUGUGCGCAGGCGGCCGAGCAAGUCGAGUGUGAAAGCCCCGAGCUUAACUUGGGAACUGCGCUCGAAACUACUUGGCUAGAGUGUGGCAGAGGGAGGUGGAAUUCCACGUGUAGCGGUGAAAUGCGUAGAGAUGUGGAGGAACACCGAUGGCGAAGGCAGCUCGCUGGGACGGUACUGACGCUGAGGCGCGAAAGCGUGGGGAGCAAACAGG